rnacentral:rRNA from 1 species
UACGUAGGGACCAAGCGUUGUUCGGAUUUACUGGGCGUAAAGGGCGCGUAGGUGGCGCGGUAAGUCACUUGUGAAAUCUCUGAGCUUAACUCAGAACGGCCAAGUGAUACUGCAGUGCUAGAGUGUGGAAGGGGCAAUCGGAAUUCUUGGUGUAGCGGUGAAAUGCGUAGAUAUCAAGAGGAACACCUGAGGUGAAGACGGGUUGCUGGGCCAACACUGACGCUGAUGCGCGAAAGCUAGGGGAGCAAACGGG